rnacentral:rRNA from 1 species
GACGAACGCUGGCGGCGUGCCUAAUACAUGCAAGUCGAGCGCAGGAAAUCAUCCGAACCUUUCGGGGGGACGUUGAUGGAAUGAGCGGCGGACGGGUGAGUAACACGUAAAGAACCUGCCCUCAGGUCUGGGAUAACCACGAGAAAUCGGGGCUAAUACCGGAUGGGUCAUCGGACCGCAUGGUCCGAGGAUGAAAGGCGCUUCGGCCUCGCCUGGAGGUGGCUUUGCGGUGCAUUAGCUAGUUGGUGGGGUAAUGGCCCACCAAGGCGACGAUGCAUAGCCGACCUGAGAGGGUGAUCGGCCACACUGGGACUGAGACACGGACCAGACUCCUACGGGAGGCAGCAGUAGGGAAUCUUCCACAAUGGACGAAAGUCUGAUGGAGCAACGCCGCGUGAACGAUGAAGGCCUUCGGGUCGUAAAGUUCUGUUGUAAGGGAAGAACAAGUGCCGCAGGCAAUGGCGGCACCUUGACGGUACCUUGCGAGAAAGCCACGGCUAACUACGUGCCAGCAGCCGCCGCCG